AGCCGUGUACUCGGGUGGGGUCUGGCCUCGCCUUCAGCUCCAGGACUGGGUCCCGGGUGGACGGGCUGCUUAAUGCUUUCCCAUCGACUCCGCCAGCUCAGCAGUCCACUUGAGAAUUCAUCUACUCCCUCCAGCACGCUUAUUUCUUUAAGCCUGGACAGAGGGAGACGAGACCGCCUGGGGUCGUGGAGGGGUGGCCAUCUGAAGAAGCGAGACAGUGCAAAAAUCCAGCCAGAGAAAUGGAAAGAAACCAUGACACGGUCGACCUACUUCUCCACUUUUCAGUUAUGUCUUUGUUUUCUCCAGCAUGGCUGGGACCUGAGCACUGGCAAGGUGAUGUAAGAUGGGACUGAGAACUGAAUCUUCUUCUCCGCCUUGACUUGUGCACAGUGACAAGGAAAUUACCUGCCACGCCCCUCCCUCCACACAGCUUACUGUCUGCAUUGACAUGACUUUACUAUUUCAUGCUUUACACAACCUGUUGUAUGGAAGUUUCUAUUUAAAUAUGUCCUCUUUAAUGUAUGCGGUUGACUUUUAUUGUGUGGUACUGGUGAUUGAACCCCAGGCUAUGCAUUGAGCUAUAUCCUCAGGAUAAGU
ensembl:lncRNA